CCAGAGGGUCGGGCGGCCGCGGGUGCGCAAGCACGCGAGGAAAGUCCGGGCUCCACGGAACCACGGUGCCGGGUAACGCCCGGCGGGCCAGCUUGCUGGUUUAGGGAAAGUGCCACAGAGAGCAGACCGCCCACUGGUUCUUCGGAACUAAGGGCAAGGGUGAAAGGGUGCGGCAAGAGCGCACCGCGCGACGGGCAACCGAAGCGGCACGGCAAACCCCACCGGGAGCAAGACCGAAUAGGGGCGGCAAUGGACUUCGAGUCCGGGGGCCUGGUUCCGGCCCGUCGCCCGGGUUGGUUGCUGGAGCGGCGGAGCAAUCCGUCGCCUAGAGGAAUGGUCGCACAUCGCUUUCGGGCGAGGACAGAACCCGGCUUAUAGACCCUCUGGCAUC
rnacentral:RNase_P_RNA from 2 species